rnacentral:rRNA from 1 species
AUUGAACGCUGGCGGCAGGCUUAACACAUGCAAGUCGAGCGGGGUGAUGGUGCUUGCACUAUCACUUAGCGGCGGACGGGUGAGUAAUGCUUAGGAAUCUGCCUAUUAGUGGGGGACAACAUCUCGAAAGGGAUGCUAAUACCGCAUACGUCCUACGGGAGAAAGCAGGGGAUCACUUGUGACCUUGCGCUAAUAGAUGAGCCUAAGUCGGAUUAGCUAGUUGGGGGGGUAAAGGCCUACCAAGGCGACGAUCUGUAGCGGGUCUGAGAGGAUGAGCCGCCACACUGGGACUGGAACACGGCCCAGGCUCCUACGGGAGGCAGCAGUGGGGAAUAUUGGCCAAUGGGGGGAACCCUGAUCCAGCCAUGCCGCGUGUGUGAAGAAGGCCUUAUGGUUGUAAAGCACUUUAAGCGAGGAGGAGGCUCUUUUGGUUAAUACCCAAGAUGAGUGGACGUUACUCGCAGAAUAAGCACCGGCUAACUCUUUGCCAGCCGCCGCCGUAA